UUUUUUUUUGUUGAAGUAGCCUAGUGGCUGAAAUUCACCCUUUAAAGAUGAACAUAUAGGAUGUCACGCAUUUGAGCCGCUCUCCUACCUCGGAUGUCCCUGUACAGCUAGUAUCUGAGUUGGCUAACGGGACAAGAAUCUAGUAUUUUAGUUACUACCUUUGUCCCUAUAUUUAAUCAUUUUAGGUUUGGGCCCACACAUUAAAAAAUAAUAAUUAAGAUAACCUUUUUACCCUUAACUCAUUUACUAAGAUUCAUUGAAUGCGGGUUUUUUUUUUGUAAGGGUACAAAAUGAAAGAUAUUAUUAAUUGUAUCUUGGUUUCUUAAAAUAACCAAAGUGUUGAGUAAGGAUCCUCUUCAUUUCUAAAAAGAAAUGGAGGUGUCAAUUACUAUAGUUGUAUUGUGUAAAUGUGUAGUUAUAAUCACCAUUUUUUAAAAUAUGUGCAUUCAUAUCACACAUUUAUAUCAAAACACAUUUAUAUCAAAACUAUAGUAAUGGACACCUCCAUUUCUUUUGAGAAAUGAAAAAGAUCAUUACCCCUAAGGUUUUGGGUUAAAUAAAAAGCUUAUAAGACAAGAUUUGGAACGAAAGAAGUAUUAGUAUAAACAAAAGUUAUUACUUUUCCCCCAUUGUUGUCAGAAAAGGCAUUAUGAGGAGGUAUCUGUAGGAUAUCUACUAGCAGAGUGCUCAAAAUGAGUGCUUGAAGUCUAAGCCAUACUAGUAUAUAAGAACAAAACAAAGCAAAACUCAGAUAAUGUAUGAGUAUGGAACUACAUACUGCAGCCAGUAGCCUUCAUGAUUGCAUUACUAAUGAAGGGAACUUUGGAACACAUUGCAGCUACCACCUGUUAUCAUAAGCCAAUCAGCCUAGGAAAAUAAACAAGACCAUUGUCUCGCAUUUAUUAGCACUUUCAAGUUUAAAUAUGUUAAAAACAUAGCACACAAUUUUGCAUAUCUUUCUGUUUUACACUAAAUUUAGCAGAGUUUUCAAGUUUGGAGACAUGUCUGCACUAGCGCGCAUUAAGUAAUGUAAAAUAAACCCAUGUUAAUUUAAAUUGAUGUACUUUAGACAAAAUUACUUACUGAUUGAGGAGUAGUAUCUAUUGAAGGGUAAUGAGAUUUCGGGAUAAUGAGCGAGUGCCUGGUAAACAAAAUAUAGAUGUGAGAAGUAAAUAGAUAAACAAUGUCAUGCAGAAUAGUUGAAAAAGCAAAAUAAAAUCGGUUUGUGAACUUGUAGCGAGAUUACUUAAUCAGCCAAUAUGCCAAUGACAAACUCCAACAUUCAACCAAAUCUCUCAAAAUGGAAUGCAAUAAUGGAUAUUUCGGAGUUCUUCUCAAACAGAACUUUACAUCACUAUCCUUUCUCUUCUGUUCCAAAUUAACUUGAAUAGUUUCGAAGUGUAUGGCCAAAUGUACAUGCAGCCAAACUUGUGAAAUAACUAAAAAAAACAUUGGAAUAUGGGAUUGCACAUAAGACAUAUAAUACCUUACCCAUUACUCAACGGGUUUGUAUCCAAUAUGCAUAGGCACGUGUCAUCUUCAUAAAGCUGUUGGAGUAACAAGGUAUUAAAAUGAGCGGUGAAGAGAAAACUUGGUUGGAUUGAAUAUCAAUAAUUAGUAGUAAUUAACAAGUACAACAGCAUCAGCCAAGUAUAUAACUAGUAACGGUCAAUAACAAUAAAAGCAUGCCAUUCAAAAUUCCACCAAAGGCCUUUGCAAUUAUUACUUAGCAUUUAUAAGACUUAGACAUCAGGCCUCAUUAUUACUUUUUCUAACAAUAAAAUGACUAACCAAUGUCAUUAAUUCACGCUUUUAACAACUUCUCACUUAUACAACAUAUCAACCCAACAAGUUUUAGGGUAAUUAGUUUAGUUUGCUCACUAUUGUACAACAAUCAAGCUUUAUCUCAAAGGUAAAGUCUGCUACAUGAAUCAACUUUUGUCAUAAUAUUGUUAAUCUCGAGAUCUUUCUGAAUAAUUUUUUUUAUAGUUUUUCUAGAUCUUCCUCUAUCUCUAGUUGCUUGACUCCUCUCCAUCUGAUAUACCCUCUUUACCAAAGAAUCUACAUAUUUUCUCUCUACAAGCUCAAACCAUCACCAUUUUUUCUACUAUAGGAGUUACCCAACAUUCUCACUAUUCUAAAAUGAACAAUCCAUUUUAGAAAGUAAAACAAGAGACUUUAGUCAUUGAUGAGUAGUGUCUGUACAAUACAACACGGACAACCAAGUCUCAUCCCACUAAAUGGGAUCAGCUACAUAGAUCAAACCAAGACAUAGUGUUUGUACAAUAUGUUAUAAAUAAGAUCAGGCUCCUCUAACAUAAGCACCUAACUAGCUUUAAAGUAUGAAGUGAGUACUAUAAACAAUUGAUUCACUCCAUGUAGCACCGAGACCUCUGAACAAAAUCUGAAAAAAAAGUGUGAUCAAUAUAUCUUACUUCUUUAUACUCUAAACUAAGAAUUUGACUUUUAAAGGAGAGAAAUCCACUUAGAGGAUAGAUUUAUAUCAUUGACUGAAUCAAAUUAGCCCCAAAUUAACGUCAAAACCUUCGUAUUAUUAUCAUCUAUUUAUGACAAUUUCCAAAUAGGUUUAAUCUGAACCACAAUUACACAAACAACCAAAGAAAGGAAGAAAAAAAAACCUUGACAGCAUGAGAUUGACCACGAAUGAUAUUGCAGAAGACACAAUCAUGUAUCCAAUUCUGAUUCUUGAUAUCACCUAAUCGCGUUUCGGAAUCGGAACCAGAUGAACAAACCGAACCGGAUAGGUGGAAAGGGCGUUGAUCCGAAGCCAAACGGGUCGGGUUGAGAUGGGAGGACAAAACGGUAAAUCUCCUUGUUGCUUCAAUGAACAUGAUUGCGGAGAUUUGAAAAUCGGGAAGCACGGUUAGUUGAAAUUGGAAGAAGCGAUUCGUGGCGCGUCGAUACUCGCCAUGGAUUUUUUUAUUUUUUUUGGUUUGAAAGUUGUCACGAGGGAAGUAGCAAAAUUCAACGGUUACGGUUUGAUUAGUUUAUGGAGAGGAUGAUGGUGAAUUUUUUAUUUUUUUUAAAUGCGAUUGCAUGACAUCGAUUCUUAUCCACAUUAUGAGUGUUUAGCUAUAGAUGGUUAUCGCCAAGGCUACUUUUUUUAUAAGUAAAAAAUUGGAGGAAGAGAAAUGUUUUUUAUAAAUAAAGUCAGGUUAUGAUUAUUUUAUGACCAUCUAGAAGAGAUAGAAAUAUAUUUAUUUAUUAAUCAAUUUAGUGUGAAAUAAUAAAAUUUGUUUUGUUAUUUUCGAUAUUAAUAAUUAAAAAUUAAUAAUUAAUAUAAUUUUAUAAUUUAUUUCUUGUGAUUUAUUUUUAAAAUUUUGAAUUAUUUUAUUAAUAUAGUAGCAUUUGAAUAAGUACUUAUUUAAUAGCAUUUGAAUAAGUAUUUAUUUAGUGGCUAUUUCUAUCUUAAAGGUUUAAAAUUGUAGUGCCUUCUAUUUUUUAAAUAUGUUAAACGUAAGUUGUGUUUAUUAAUAUAUGAAUUCUUUGAUUGUUUUUGUGUAUGAUCUUAGUAUUUUUAUCGAAUUUUAUUUCAAUCUGUUUUAGUUAAGCUAAAAAAUACAAAGUUUUGUUGGUAAUAACUAAUGGUAGAAAUAAAAUGUGGGUAACUUAAUUUAAGUUGAAAUUGGUUAGUAAAAAUAGGAAGACAAAGUUAAACAACUAAACUUUAACUUAAAUUCAUUGUAAUUAUUAAAACAAUUAUUACAAUUUUUGCACAUUCUUUUCUUCAUGGGUAGAGCUAUUAAAAUUAGUUAGCUCAUAUAAGUCGGUUCGAAACUCCAAUAUAAUAUAAAGUUUUCAGAUUUAUAAAGUUUUUUUUACUUCGAUUCUAGAAAGUCUGUUAUAUAUUGGAGUUAUAUUGUAUGAAUCACAUGUGUAACACUCCAGAAUUUAAUUUAUUUAUUUAAUCAAAUUAUUUAUAUUUGCAUUUAAUAAUUAAUAUAUGAUGUGUUUUUAACUAAAUAUAUAUUGAAUAGUAUGUGUAUAUGUGGUGGGGUGUAGUGACCGGGUGUAGUGAGAGUUUUGGUAGAGUACGAGAAGGAUUAUAGUUAUUGAAUAAUUAAAAAUAAUUAUUAUUAUAUUUAUUUUGAUUAAUUAAUUAAAAUAAAUUUAAAAAAUAAGAUUUUGGGUGGAAAGUAUAAAAUUAGAGAAUAUGAGGGGAUUGGUGAAAGUUGUAAUAUAAGUUGGGUUUUAUUGCAAUAUUUAAGAGAUUAAAUAAUUUGGUUAGGGAUAAAUAAUUGUUAGUAGAGUUUGGGAGAAAAAUAAUACGUGAAAACAGAUUUUGGUGAAAAAAGACAAGGUAAUGCUAAGGUUUGAAGAGGGAAGAAAAACCUUGAGUAAUUCUGAAUUUUUAUAAGCAAACUAAGGUAAAGGGGAGAAAUCGCUUUUUUUUAUGGGUGUCUAGAAUGAAAGGCCAGAGAAGAGAGGUCCUUACUCUCUUUGUGUGAUUUGAUUAUGAAUUGUUGUUGUAUGUAAUUUUGGAAUUUGAUGAUUAAAGGUGCAUUCAUCUAAUUUUCGUAGAUGGAAUGUGCAUAUGUGGUUUUGUUUAUGUGUGUUUAUGUUUGUGUGACAUUGUUGGAGUUGUUGAAAGCAUGGUCAUAAAUAUGAAUUGAUAAAAUUGAAUGAAUUAAAUGGUGUGGCUAUGUGAUUUAACAUGUCUUAAUGAUUUUAUAACAUGUGAUAUGAUUUUAUGGAUGUUUGAGGAUGUUUGGGACUGAGUUGGGGAAGGUUUGGAGGUUAUGUAGUGCAAAAAUUGUGUUUUCGGUGAUGCAUGUCCGGGAGACCUCGCCCACCGAGCUUGCCCGGUGCGCUUGGCCAUGUGAACUUCGCUCGGUGAGCUGUUGUGCUCGUUUGGCGAAGAUGACAGCAUAAGGUUGUUGUUCGCGACUCGAAUUGUCGUAACUUCAGUUUUGGGACUCGGAUUGAGACGUGGUUUGAAGCGUUGGAAAGCUAAUGCACGAAGCUACAUUAUCGUAGUUCCUUAUGAGAUGAAUUUCCACAUUUGAAUUAUGUAUUAAUAUAUGUUAUGAAGUGUGUGUAUAACUACGUGACUUAUUGUACAUGCUUGAUGAUGAAUUGAUAUUGAGAUGAUUUAAAAUGAUUGAGUGUUGUAUGUGAAUAUAUAUUUGACAUGGUGUUAAUGUUUAAUUAUUGUUUGGAGGUAUUUUUGUAUUAUUUAUUAUUUAUUGUGGAAUUAAUCAAUUGUUGUGUAUUGAGAAUGAUGUUGUGCAUAAUUGUGGUAAACACUUGGUGAUCAUUUUGGUGAUAUUGCAUGUUGUUGAAAAUCAUACAUCAUGGUGUACAGAAUUCAGUCCAACUUUGGUGUGCUCUGGUCCGAUUAUAUAGAUUCAGGAGCGAGUAGAUGGCUUCAUAUGGGAAUCGGUGAAGCGUUACGAAAGUUGUUAGUAGCGAAUUUGUGUGCUUUGGUCUGAUGGUGUGGAUUCAGGAACGAGUAGUUGGUUCCAUAUGGAAAUCAGUGAAGCAUUACUAAAGGUGUUAGUAGCGAAUUUGUGUGCUCUGGUGCAAAAGUGUGGAUUCAGGAGCGAGAAUAUGUGUUGUUCAUAAUGGUAUAACAUGCAUAAGUGUCACGUGUGUGUGUGUGUAUAUAUAUAUAUAUAUACUAUGGUGAUGUUCAUUACGUAUGGAAUGUGUGUUAUGUUGUAUGUUUCUCUACCUUCGCAUUUUUUACGCUGUUCGUAUUGAAUGUUGUUUCUCACCCUUUUAUUUCAUGUUGUCCACCAUGGACAUCUUGUAGAUAACCAUGAGCGAGUAUUGUUGUUGUGUAUGGAAGGUGGCUUGUUGGAGCUACUCUUUAUUUUUUUCUAUUCAUCGUACUUUAGUGAUUUUGGUGCUCUGAUCGUGUAACAUCGGAAACGGGAGUUUGUUAAGUUUUCAUGUUAACGUUGACUUUGGUGCUUGAGAAGUUUAUUAACUAUUUAUGAAGUUUUAUUAAAGUGUUUAUGAUAUGAUUUCUGCUGCAUGUUGAUAAUUGUUGAAUUGUGUUUUGGAUUGUCGUUGGUGACACCUUAAAUUGUCAAAUAAUAUUUAUAUAAAUUUCAGAGUAUAUAGUGUUACAACAGACAUCUCGUUUGGCCCUCAUAACUAAAAAUUUAAAAGUUAUAUUAAUUUAUAUGUUGUUUCACUAAAAAAAUUACACAUUGCUCAAACUUCACAAUAUUUUAUCUUUUAUAUUAUAUUCAAAAUAUAUAUAUUAUAUAUUAAUAUAAUUAUAUUAAGAUUUAAUUAUUUCUCAUUCUAUUUUUUUUAUUUUCUCUUAUUCUAUUAUUUUUGUGUUAUAUUGGAUAUUUUUGUAUUAUUUUGAACAAUUUAAAACAGAUAUUAUAUUUAAAAAUAUGUUAAAUUACUUUUAAAAAAUAAUAUAGUACUUAAAAUAUAUUAUAUUCAAAAUAAUAUACUUUAUAUAAUAAAUAUUAUGGAUUUUUUAUAUAAUAAAUAAUAAAAAUAAUACAUAUCUACACCGACUCAGAAUCCCUUUCAUUUCGAUUUAGUUUUUUUCUAGAAGUUGAUAGCAUUGUCUCAUUGUAAUGUCUCGUGCACCGAUAACCACUCCCUCGCCCUCGGGUGUUACAUGCAACCACUCUCCACUCUCUUCGGCCUCGGGUGUUAUAUAUCCACUAGAUUCCACUUGAUUCAUCCCUGAAUCACAUCGUACUGGGAGAGGUCUGCUCUGAUACCAGUUGUAACACCCUAGACUGCUUUCAAGAUUAUCGACGAACCCCGCAAAUCAAUACGGGUUUUUUCAGUAUGCUUUGUCCUCACUCACACGCUUUUUGAGAAACUUCUCAGAAGGCCAUUCAUCCUACUACUACCCCAAGUCAAUCACGAUUAACUAUGGAGUUCUUAUUUGUUAGGCUACCGGAAAAAAUAUGCAUCUUGUUGGUAUAUCUAAUACCAAUUAAUCCUUAUAAGCAUUUCUUCAACCAUGCACACCCAUAUCUCCACAACCUCAAGAUCUCUCUCAUUUUGAUGUGAAUUCGGUUUUUUCCCUAGAAACUGCUAGGAGUGUAUCAUUGUCAUGUAUUGUGCAUCGACAACCACUUUCUUGCUCUCGAGUGUUACACUGAUAUGAGUGUCUCAUUGACAUGUCUUGUGCACCGACAAUCACUCUCUCUCUCUCUCUCUCUCUCUCUCUCUCUCUCUCUCUCUCUCUCUUUCUCUCUCUCUCUCUCUCUCUCUCUCUCUCUCUCUCUCUAGUGUUACAUGUAACCACUCUCCACCCUCUUCGGCAUCGGGUGUUGCAUGCCCACCAGCUUCCGCUUGGUUCGUCCCCGAACCACAUCGUACUGGGAUAGGUUUGCUUUGAUACCAUUUGUAACGCCUCAUACUGCUUUCAAGAUUACCGACUGACCUCACAAAUCAACACAUGUCUUUUCAGCCUCACUUACAUGCUUUCUGAGAAACUUCCCAAACGCUCACCCAUCCAAAUACUACUCCAAGUCAAACCUCAUUAACUAUGGAGUUUUUAUUUUGUAGGCUAUCGAAAAGAAGAUGCAUUUUAUUGGUAUAGAUAGUACCAAUCAAUCCUUAUAAGAAUUUCUUCAACCAUGCAGUCUCAUACCUGCACAUCCUCAGGAUCUCUCUCAUUCCGAUGUGAGUUCGGUUUUUCCAUAGAAGCUGCAAGGAGUGUCUCAUUGACAUGCCUCGUGCACCGACAACCAUUAUUUCUCCCUCGGGUGUUACAUAUAACCAUUCCCCUCCCUUUUUGGUCUCAGGUGUUACAUGUCCAUCAUCUUUCGCUUGGUUCGUCCAUGAACCACAUCUUACUGGGAGAGAUCCGCUUUGAUACCAUUUUUAACUCCCCAGACUAUUUUCAGGAUUACCGACGGACCUCACAAACCAACACGAGUCUUUUCAGCAUGCUUUAUCCUCACUCACACGCUUUCCGGGAAAUUUUCCCAGAAGGUCGCACAUCCAAAUAAUACUUCAAGUCAAGCACGCUUCACUAUGGAAGUCUUAUUUGUUAUGCUACCGAAAAGAAUAUGCAUCUUGUUGGUAUUGUUAGUACCAAUUAAUUCUUAUAAGCCUUCCUUCAACCAUGCAGACUUAUAUCUGCACAGCCUUAGGAUCCCUCUCAUUCCGAUGUGAAUUAGGUUUUUCCCCUAGAAGCUGUUAGAAGUGUUUCAUUGUCAUGCAUCAUGCACCGGCAACCAUUACAUCGCCCUCGUGUGUUACAUGUAACCACUCUCCGCCCUCUUCGGCCUCGGGUGUUAUAGACGCCAUAUUUGAGCUGAGGCAAUAUGGUUUAUAAAACCAUGCAAUUUCUCUUGCUUUAAUGCAUUUGAAAGAAAUUAUUAAGGAAUGACAAAGAAAAUAGUAGUUGACUGUUGCAUCACAUUAGCAUGUUAUUUUCUUGCCACACUACAUAUUGAUGACUAGUUGGCGGAGUUCGUAGUAUUUAUAAUCACAUAAGGUUUUAUGUCAAUGAAGGAUAUAAUAAUCGGUGUGAUUCAAUACUGCUUGAGUUUUGUUGGAUGGAGUCAUAUUCAGACAAUGUACCUGGAAUCCUGCAUUUCCUUAAAAUGCGGCCGCAUUUUAAAAAAUUUGUCAUCAACACGAGAGUCAUUCUCAAAAUGUGUCUUAAAAAUAAAAGUCACACAAUUGAUUUUGCCUAAGUGGGAGAAUGUUAUAUUUAUCUAACAUCUCGUGGGCUACAAUCAAUUGUUAUUUAAGUUGUGAAAAUUGGGUUAAUGGUGAUUCUAUUGAAGGUGCAUAAAUAAGUCAUUUUAUUAGUUAAGUGAUCUUUUUCAAUUAAAGGUUGAGUAUCUGAAAUCUGAUUGGUGUGGGCAAAAAUGUGUAUUUUAACCCUUGGCUCAUAAUGGGUAGGGACUAGGGUUAUAUGUAUAUUAUAUGGCUAGGUCUCCUUUGUAAUCACAAUAAUCAGAAACAUAAUUGACGGCUCCACAACUUACCCCAUUGAGAGUUGUGAGCUGGAAUAUGAGAUAUAGGGGAAGAUUCGAUCAUUUAUUUUUUCAGGAUCCUGAAUCAUAACUUCAACAAGUGUUGAUGUUCUAAUUUCAUAUAAUCUAUCAAUAAAUAUUUCUGCUUACAUUAUCAUUGUCAUAAAUUGAACAUUUUCAAUGUGAAUGUCAUCCAAGGAAGGAAAAUGAAACAAAAAUCUUAAAAUCUAAACAAGAAAUGUUUUAUUGGAAUAUACUAAGGACAAACAACCGAUUAAGAAAGAAUUAUCAUUUCUUUAUUCAAGUGAAGUAAUCAUAUGGGUAGAAAUAUGUUUAAUAUAUUUUUUAGUCUUGUAUCUUAAUCUCGAAAUUCAUUUUGGUCACAUAUCUUUUUAAAAUGUUUAUAUUGGUCUCUUAACUCUUUAAAACAUAUCAUGUUAGUCAUUUUUGUCUAAUUAGCGACAAAUUUAACGAUCAAUUUUUGAGUUUUUUCCAUCGUUAAUUAGACAAAAAUGACUAAUAUAUUAAGUUUUGAAGAGUUAAUGGAUAAUAUGGACUAAAAUCAACCUCAAAAUUAAAAUACGAACCAAAAAGAAUAUUAAGUCGUAGAAAUAAGAAACUAUUCUAUAAUUUGAAUGAAAACUUAAGAUAAACAAUGAAAUUCGAAACAUUUAAAACAUGAUUGUGAAGAGAAAAGACACUGUGUGAUUUGAUUUCAAUUAUAUGGAAUCUCAUAUAUCAUUACUAGAAUUUCAUUCACAUAUCAUUACUAGAAUUUCAUUCACAUAUCAUUACUAGAAUUUCAUAUGUACAUGAAUUAAAAACAACUUAUUAAGUAUUGGUCAGCUAUAAGAAAAAAGAUUAACAGUCACUUUUCAACAUGAAAGAUUCAAUAUCUAUCAUAAGGGAAAAGGUUUUUUAUUAUGAAAGAUUCAAUAUCUAUCAUAAGGGAAAAGGUUUUUUAUUAUGAAAAUAACAAUCUCUUCAGCUUGUUUAAGCACAAUCACUUAAAACUCAACUCAGUAAUGGAACUCAAAACUCUCACCAAAAUUUAUGAAGAUUGUUUUGUGUGAAACCAACUAAGGGAUAUUUCCCUAAAGUGAGCCCUUAGACCGCAUCUAAAAUUAUAUAUUUGGUGAAUGUUGACAUAUGUCAAUCUGUUCUAUCAACUCACACAACAACAAAAGUGCAUAUGGAUACUUUUAUUGAUGAUUAUAGUCGAAAAACAUGAGUAUAUUUUUUAAUAGAAAAGUUUGAAGCUUUUCACAAUUUUGAAAACAUUAAAAAUCAGAGAGAAAGUAAUAGGUAUAUUCAUAAAAUAUUUGUGUACCGAUAAUGGUAGAGAAUUUAGGGGCCCGUUUGUUUUGGCUUUUUUUUAAAAUGAUUUUUAUAGUGUUAUAUAUUUUAGUGUAAAAAAAAAUUUACAAAGAAACUUUUCAUAAAAGCUUCAAAUGAAAAUUUUGUUUGAAUAGUUAUUCUUAAAAUGUUAAUUUAGGUAUUUUAUCAUUUUAUCAAAACUUUUUUUGGAUAUCAAAAUUUCAAAAAAUCACUUAAUUUUGAAGCUAUUUCAAAUAGUUUUUUCUAAAAAUCAUUUUUGAGAUAUAAUUUUUUUUUUCAAAUUGUGAUUUUGACUAUGUUUUGAUCUUCAAUAAUGUAUAUUUAUGUUAUACAAUGAACAAUUCAAUCUAUUAAUUUAUAAAAAUUAAAUUUAGAAAAACUUGUAAUAUUUUGAAAAACAUUUUUGUAAAAUCCAUUUUCAAAAAUAUACAGAAAAAAUCCAUUUUUUUAAAGCUAAAACAAACUGGUCCUAAAUCACAAGGGUUUAGCGAUUUUUGUUAGAAGAAUGGUAUAAAUAGGUACAUUAUGAAGAUGCUCUCUUGCUUAAUGAGAAACAAAUUCGGAUGAAUUUGAUGGAUAAAGUCAUCAAUUAGAUUGUUCAUGUGUCAAAUCGUUGACCAACAAUUGAUGUAAAAGAAAAGACUUGUAAAGAUGUUUGGAGUGAUUUUAAGCUAUCACUAGAGUACUUUAGAGUUUUUGGAUGUGCGCCACAUGUCCACUUACCGAAAAAACUAGAUAUCACAAGUAUCAAAGACAUGUAGGUUGUAUGAUUUUUGUUAAGAUUAGCUACUUUAUUCAUUGGAUUAUAUUAGUUGAUUAAUAUAGUUGAUAAGGCUAUUGUUAGUUAAGUGGUUAUUUGGUUAGUUAGUUUCAUUUGAUUGGCUAUUAUGUGAUAGGAGUGUACUAUAUAAGAGUUGUACUAUCACACUUGAAUAAUCAAUGAAGCUAUAAUUCUCUCUUCUUGAAGUUUUCUUUCUCAUUUCCAUUUUAUUAUCCUUUCUUCAAUGAUGAAAUAACUUCAUCACAAUAUGGUAUCAUUCGCCAAUUCGAUUCUCCUUCCGCUGUUAUCCAAUUGAAUCCUUCUACUCCAUCUGUUUUUCUUUCUGCAUUCACUUCUUUCUGCAUCCAUGGCUCCUCCUCGAGCUCCACCACUUGAUCCCGCUUUGGAUCAAACUUCACCUUAUUUUGUUCACCCUAGCGAUGGCCCCGGUUCUGUUACAGUUCUUCUGAAACUCACUGGUUCCAACUAUCAUUCAUGGGCUCGAAGCAUGAAGAGGGCUCUUGGUGGCAAAAUGAAGAUUGAGUUCAUUGAUGGAUCUCUUCCUGUUCCUGCUGAUUCUUUCGAUCCAUCUUUGCGUGCUUGGAAUCGCUGCAACAUGCUAGUACAUUCUUGGAUCAUGAAUUCUGUUUCAGAUUCAAUUUCUCAGUCUAUCGUCUUCAUGGAGAAUGCGCUUGAUGUAUGGAACGAUUUGAAAGAAAGGUUUUCUCAGGUAACCUCAUUCGAAUUUCUGAGUUGCGGCAAGAAAUAUACAAUCUCAAGCAAGAAACCAAAUCGGUAACUGAUUUUUUUAUGAUCUUAAAAUUCUUUGGGAAGAAUUAGAUUUGUAUUUGCCUUUACCAACUUGUACAUGUCGCAUAAAGUGUUCUUGUGAAGCUAUGCGCGGUGCAAGAUCUAAUCAUCGGCUGCUGCAAAUUAUCAGACUCUUGACUGGUUUGAAUGACCAAUUUGUUGUAGUUAAGUCUCAAAUCUUGUUAAUGGAUCAUUUGCCUAAUAUGAAUAAGAUAUUCUCCAUGGUUAUCCAACAUGAGCGACAAAUUCAGCUCCCUAUUCCCAAUGAUGAGUCUGAAACACUGAUUAAUGCUGCUGAUUCCAAGAAGUUUGGGCAAGAAACAAUACAUUCAAGCAUGGUGCUCGUGUUUGCACAUUCUGUGGCAAGACUAAUCACAAUGUGGAAAACUGCUUCAAGAAACAUGGGGUACCACCUCAUAUGCAGAAGCAGUUUUAGAAUUAAGCUAACAAUGUGGCAUCAGAUGGAAAUGAUGAUGGAUCUUCCUCUAGUGGUGAUGACAUCAAAAGUGACAAUUCACCUAUGACUCAAGGUCAAUUCAGUGCUUUAAUGGAUCUAAUUCAGAAAUCAAGCAUUGGCCAAUCUUCAGGACAUGCUUCUUCCAACCAAGUUGUUGUUGGUCAUCCAUUAAUAGGUAACACAUAUCAUUGCAUGCAUAGUAGUAGUAGUGGUUCUUGGAUCAUUGAUUCAGGAGCUACUUAUCACAUAUGUAGUUCUGUCCAAUGGUUUCAUUCAUAUAGGAAAAUUAUUCCCAUCAAUGUUAGAUUGCCAAAUGGACAAUGUUUUGUUGCUAAACAUUCUGGCACAAUUUAUUUUUCCCCUGACUUCAUUGUGCAUAAUGUUUUUUGAUUCCUGAAUUUUCUUUAAACCUAUUAUCUGUUUCAAAAUUGUGUGAAUCCUCUAAUUGCAAUGUCAAUUUCCUCAAUUCACAAUGUGUUAUACAGGACAAAAUCACCAUGAAGAUGACUGGUUCUGCUGAGCAGAAAGAUGGAUUGUACUACUUAACACUAAGAGAUAAUGAUCCACCUACUACACACACACACCUGCUUUAACCUCUGCCCUAGCAGCCAAUGUCACUUUACCAGAUAGAGCCUUAUGGCAUUUUAGAUUAGGACACUUAUCUCAAAACAGACUAUUGUACUUACAUUCUCAAUUUCUCUUUUAUCAAAGUAAAUCAUAAAGAUGUUUGUGAUGUAUGUUGUUAUGCUAGACAAAGAAAGCUUUCUUAUACUGUUAAUAAUAAUAGAACUGCUCACCCUUAUGACUUGAUCCAUUUUGACAUUUGGGGACCUCUUGCAGUUCAAUCUUUACAUGGUCAUUCAUAUUUUUUAAUUGUUGUUCAUGACUGUAGCAGAUACACAUGGAUAACAUUAAUGAAAGCCAAAUCUGAAGUUAGACAGCAUGUUAUAAACUUUGUUAGUCUCAUAGAAAAUCAACAUAAGCUUUGUGUCAAAAUUAUCAGAACUGAUAAUGGUCCUGAAUUUAGCAUCCCUGAAUUUUAUGCAUCUAAGGGAAUCAUUCAUCAAACAAGUUGUGUUGAAUCUCCACAACAAAAUGGUAGAGUGGAGAGGAAACAUCAACAUUUAUUAAAUGUUGGAAGAGCUUUUCUUUUUCAGUCAAAACUUCCAAAGAAAUUCUGGUCAUAUGUCAUUUUGCAUGCAACAUUCAUUAUAAGUAAACUUCCUACACAAGUUUUAAACAAUCUUUCUCCUCAUUUCAUACUGCACAAUGCACAUCCAGAUAUGCAUAGUCUCAAAGUGUUUGGAUCUCUAGCUUUUGCAUCCAUAUUACAUAUGCAUAGAACAAAACUUGAGCCAAGAGGUCGAAAAUGUGUAUUCUUAGGAUACAAGAAUGGUAUGAAGGGUGUGGUGCUCUAUGAUAUUAACAGUCAUACAAUUCUUGUUUCUAGAAACGUCAUACAUCAUGAGCACAUUUUUCCCUAUUCAAAUGCAAAUUCUACUAAUUGGAACUAUCACCCUUACAAAGAUCCCAUUGACUCACCACAACAUGAUCCUAUCAUACCUGUUCCAUCACAAAGUAUUGAAUCCACUGUUGAGGAACAUGACCAUCAUCCUAACACAACCAUUGACACACUACACCAUUCUAACAUUGACCUUGAAUCUUUAGAAAAUGCUGAUGAGAACCAUGACAUUCAAUUUAUCCCUGAUACAUCAGAUAUUGAAAAUGACAACAUUCGAUCUAGGCCUGUUAGAGCCAAACAUACACCUCGUUAUCUCUCAGAUUAUGUGUGCAAUACAUCUGAUGCAUCAGCAGUCAAGUCAUCAUCAGGUACAACCAAAAUUAUCUAUCCUAUUUCAAAUUAUGAUUCAUUGCAUUUUCUGUCUACAUCUCAUCGUGCCUUUGCAUCCAAUAUCACUCUUACACAUGAGCCAAAGAACUACAAAGAAGCAUGUUUGUCUGAACAUUGGAUUAAGGUCGUGAAGUAUGAAUUAGAUGCAUUAUACAAGAAUAGGACUUGGAACAUAGUUGAUUUGCCACCACAUGUCAAACCAAUUGGUAACAGAUGGGUGUUCAAAGUAAAGCAUAGAGCGGAUGGCACAAUAGAGAGGUAUAAAGCUAGACUUGUUGCCAAGGGCUACAACCAAAUUGAAGGGCUUGAUUUCUUUGAUACUUUUUCACCUGUAGCAAAGCUUACAACUGUCAGAACUCUUCUUGCAAAUUCUUGCAACUGCAGCCAUCAACAAUUGGUUCUUACAUCAACUUGAUGUUAACAAUGCAUUUUUACAUGGGGAAUUGCAGGAAGAUGUGUAUAUGACCAUACCUGAAGGUGUUACAUGUCACAGGCCUAAUCAAGUAUGCAAACUCCAAAAGAGUUUAUAUGGUCUGAAACAAGCCAGUCGCAAAUAGUAUGAAAAGCUAACAACUCUUUUACUUCAACAAGGGUACACUCAAUCUACUUCUGAUUAUUCCCUUUUCACUUUGAAAACUGAUGCUCAAUUUACAGCUAUUUUAGUCUAUGUUGAUGACAUAAUCCUAGUUGGAACCUCUAUGUCUGAAUUUGGUCGUAUCAAACUCAUUCUAGAUGAAAAUUUUAGCAUCAAAGACCUGGGAAUACUCAAGUAUUUUCUUGGCCUCGAGGUUGCUCAUUCAAAGGCGGGGAUUUCACUAUCACAACGAAAAUAUUGUUUUGAUCUCUUGCAGGAAUCUGGUAUGCUUGGAUCCAAACCAGCUCGCACACCAUCAGUUAAGCUACAUGCUGAUAGUCACAAAGCUUUUGAAGACAUUGGAGCUUAUAGACGAUUAAUAGGUCGUAUGUUGUACCUUAACACCACACGCCCAGACAUUACCUAUGCCACUCAGCAACUCAACCAGUUUCUUCACAAUCCAACAAUGACACACUACCAUGCUGCUUGUAGAGUCAUACGCUACUUGAAGAAUAGCCCUGGUAGAGGAAUUCUGUUUCACAAGAAUGAUGAAUUACAACUUCUUGGCUUCUCAUAUUCUGAUUGGGCAGGGUGCCUUGAUUCAAGGAGGUCCAUUUCAGGAUAUUGCUUCUUCCUUGGUACUUCUCUCAUAUCAUGGCGUGCAAAGAAACAAGAUCCAGAUCAUCAUCGAAGGCUGAGUAUCAGGCGCUAUCAUUUGCCAUAUGUGAAUUGCUUUGGUUGAUAGUCCUUGUGAAGGAGCUUAACAUCACAUGUACCAAACUUCUUGUCCUUUAUUGUGACAGCCAAAGUGCAAUGCAUAUUGUGUCCAAUCCGGUAUUUCAUGAACAAACCAAACAUCUUGAGAUCGAUUGCCAUUUGGUCCGUGAAAAACUACAACAAGGCUUACUUCGGCUCCUACCAAUUUCCACUCAUGAGCAACUUGUUGAUUUUCUAACUAAAGCAUUACCAACUUCAACUUUCAACAAGUUUAUUUCCAAGCUUGGCAUGAUCAACAUUCACCAUGCUUAGCUUGAGAGGGGCUGUUAAGAUUAGCUACUUUAAUAAACUUCAACUUUCAACAAGUUUAUUUCCAAGCUUGGCAUGAUCAACAUUCACCAUGCUUAGCUUGAGAGGGGCUGUUAAGAUUAGCUACUUUAAUCAUUGGAUUAGAUUAGUUGAUUAAUAUAGUUGAUAAGGAUAUUGUUAGUUAGGUGGUUAUUUGGUUAGUUAGUUUCAUAUGAUUGGCGAGUGUACUAUAUAAGAGUUCACACUUGAAUAAUCAAUGAAGCUAUAAUUCUCUCUUCUCGAAGUUUUCCUUCUCAUUUGCAUUUUAUUAUCCUUUCUUCAAUGAUGAAAUAACUUCAUCACAAUAAUUUUGUUUCUCAUAAGAUAAGAUUAGAGAUGUUUUUGAAAAAGAUAUAAGUUGGAUCUUGGUGAGUAGAGAUGUAUUUGAAAAAGAUAUAAGUUGGGACUAGGAUAAAAGGCACGAGGAAACCAUUAAAUUCAAUUUAGAGUGAAAAUAUGAAUAAGGUGAAGUCUCCAUUUCUACAAACGAUGAGACAGGCAUUAUUGAAGAAAUAGAAGGAGAAUGCUCUAACUUAAAUGAUUCAAUAAAAAAAAGCACCCAGGUUUAAAUAAAAGAUAACACAACAAUCUAUUUAGGUGUAAGGAAAAAUUACACUUGAGAGUUGACAAAUUUAUUUGGAUGGUAGGAAUGGUUUUUAAAACAAAUCCCAAGUAAACAAUGCCAUUGAUUUUGUAACUACAACGUUGUUCCACAAACACAUCUUAAUUGAGUACACCAUGUAAGAAUGAAGAUUUUACAUCAAAUUCAUAAAUGGUGCGUCCCUUUUGAGCAUCAAGCACUGGCAGUAAUUGAAUUGUAUAUAUCAUGCUAUCAAUGUGAAGAUCCAAUUAAAUCGAUGUUUUUAUUUUAUGAAUUAAAACAAGCACCACAAGCAUGAUACAAACACACUGUGUCUUAUUUUCUUAAAAGAAGACUUUGAAAGACGCUCACAAAAGAUGAUCUAAUAUUUCCUGUCAAUGAUGAGUCCAUAUUUGUUGGAACAAAAAAUUCAUGAUGGUUGAUUUUGCUAUGAUUGAUUAGAGAAAGAUGAUGUAAUUUCUGAGUAUUGAAGUAACAGAAAAAGGUGUUUUAAUUAGUAGAAAAACAGAUAUGUUAAAGAAAUGUUCGAGUAAGUAAUAGGUAUGGACUAAAAAAAUGAUCCAAUUGUUCCUGAGCCAAUUAAUGAAACUAAAAAAAUGAUGAUGAAUCUGCCAAAAUAACACGCACUACAGUAUUUCAUCAGAUGGCGAGACAGUUGAAAGAUAGCAAAAGAUUAUCCAUAAGAAAUUGUGUCAAAAAACUGGAAUCAAAAUAUAACUUAAGUAGCCAAAUACAAAAAUAUCUAGGAUUAAAACAGAUUAAC
rnacentral:lncRNA from 1 species